CACCUCUCAGGGUCGCCCCUGGAGAGUUUCCAGGACUCUACCAGUCUCGGCUAUGGGAGGGAGAAUCAUGCAGAGGCUUACCCAUUCCAUUCCUAGCUUGGCCAGUGGCUAGCGAGGGGAAGGCAAUCUCACCCGUG
rnacentral:snoRNA from 1 species